rnacentral:rRNA from 1 species
GAGUUUGAUCCUGGCUCAGGAUGAAUGCUGGCGGCGUGCCUAAUACAUGCAAGUCGAGCGGCAGCGCGUCUAGUUUACUAGAUGGCGGCGAGCGGCGGACGGCUGAGUAACGCGUGGGAAUAUGCCCCAAAGUGAGGGAUAACGCACCGAAAGGUGUGCUAAUACCGCAUAUGGUCUUCGGAUUAAAGGAUUUAUCCGCUUUGGGAGUAGCCCGCGUACGAUUAGAUAGUUGGUGAGGUAAUGGCUCACCAAGUCGACGAUCGUUAACUGGUCUGAGAGGAUGAUCAGUCAGACUGGAACUGAGACACGGUCCAGACUCCUACGGGAGGCAGCAGUAAGGAAUCUUCCACAAUGGGCGAAAGCCUGAUGGAGCAACGCCGCGUGCAGGAUGAAGGCCCUCGGGUCGUAAACUGCUUUUAUGAGUGAAGAAUAUGACGGUAACUCAUGAAUAAGCACCGGCUAACUACGUGCCAGCAGCCGCGGUCAUACGUAGGGUGCAAGCAUUAUCCGGAGUGACUGGGCGUAAAGAGUUGCGUAGGUGGUUAUAUAAGUGAAUAGUGAAACCUGGUGGCUCAACCAUACAGACUAUUAUUCAAACUGUAUAACUCGAGAAUGGUAGAGGUAACUGGAAUUUCUUGUGUAGGAGUGAAAUCCGUAGAUAUAAGAAGGAACACCAAUGGCGUAGGCAGGUUACUGGACCAUUUCUGACACUAAGGCACGAAAGCGUGGGGAGCGAACCGGAUUAGAUACCCGGGUAGUCCACGCCGUAAACGAUGGAUACUAGCUGUUGGAGGUAUCGACCCCUUCAGUAGCGAAGCUAACGCGUUAAGUAUCCCGCCUGUGGAGUACGGCCGCAAGGCUAAAACAUAAAGGAAUUGACGGGGAUCAGCACAAGCGGUGGAUCGUGUUCUUUAAUUCGAUGAUAAACGAA